UGCAACUCGCCUACACGAAGUCGGAAUCGCUAGUAAUCGCGGAUCAGCAUGCCGCGGUGAAUACGUUCCCGGGCCUUGUACACACCGCCUGUCACACCAUGGGAGUUUGUAACGCCCAAAGUCGGUGGCCUAACCUUUAUGGAGGGAGCCGCCUAAGGCGGGACAGAUGACUGGGGUGAAGUCGUAACAAGGUACC
rnacentral:rRNA from 1 species